rnacentral:tRNA from 1 species
GGGGAUUUAGCUCAGUGGUAGAGUGCUUGCCUAGGAAGCUCAAGGCCCUGGGUUCGGUCCCCAGCCCCCA